rnacentral:rRNA from 1 species
GGGUGCGAUCGUACCAGCGUUAAUGCAUCGGAUCCCAUCAGAACUCCGUAGUUAAGCGCGCUUGGGCUAGAGUAGUACUCUGGGAUGGGUGACCUCCCGGGAAGUCCUAUUGUUGCACCCU